GUGGAUCUAUCAAUAUCUUACGAGAUAUCUCAUUUUAAGUAUUUUACAAAAAGCGUAGUCUAAAUAAAUAGAACGAGAUUCAGACGAGAUAGUUUAAAUGAGAUAUUUGAAUACACUCCGUUUCCCGAACGAUACCUCGUACUGGCGUCGCCGGUGAAGUACGUCCGACGGAUGUCGUGAAUUUCCCAUUCUAUGGUUGGGAAUUUUAAGUCAUGAGGUUCCGCAGAUGAUUUUGUCGCUUCCACACGUCACGGCACGUAUCCCUUUGGCUACAAGCCAUCUACGCAUAGCGACAUGGCGACAUUGUGCACCGGUAUGGGUUUGUUUGGUACGGCCGGUCAGAAUAAUGUCGCUUCUACUUCCGACAUCGCGGAAUCGCGGUUCAGUUCGCGUCCGACGGAACCAUCAAAUUGCGCCUGGAAAUCCCCAUGUCGUUCAGUGCGCAUAACCACAUCGCGGAAGGCAGAACCACCUUCCCGAAACUCGCGAUGGGUUUCGUCAUCACAGAACCCAUCUUGAUAAAACAAAACCCAUCUUGAAAUCCGAUCAGAAAUCCAUCAGACCUCAUGAAUCGCGAUUGCAUAGUCUCAGAACCCAUCGUGAUUAAACAGAACCCAUCUUGAAAUCCGAUCGGAAAUCCAUCGGACCUCACGAAUCGCGAUUGCAUAGUCUCAGAACCCAUCGUGAUUAAACAGAACCCAUCUUGAAAUCUGAUCGGAAAUCCAUCGGACCUCACGAAUCGCGAUUGCAUAGUCUCAGAACCCAUCGUGAUGAAACAGAACCCAUCUUGAAAUCCGAUCGGAAAUCCAUCGGACCUCACGUAUCGCGAUUGCAUAGUCUCCUGAACGACACUGUCGACUAUGAAAUCCGAUGUCGGACCACGCGAUGGGUUCCGCGGAACGGGAUUGCAGUUCCGUGAACUCGAUUCCGUUCGUGAUGGAUUCCCGGAACUGCAAUCCCUUUCAACUUCCGGUACCUCACUGCAAUCCCGUAGUUCUCGAAACUCGAUUUACCUGUCCUCGCGAUCCUGUCUGAUUGUGUGACGCAAAAAAAUAAAGUACCUCACCGCAAUCCCGUAGUUCUCGGAACUCGACUAUGCAAUUCCAUACCUCACCGGCGACUAUGCAAUCCCUUUCAAAAAUCGUACAAUGAUACAGUACUAGGUAUGGCGUGACGUCGAAUUGGACACCCCAUACCUGACACAAUCGACCAACGGUAGAGGUUCAUCUAGCCAACGGACGGUUGGAUGUGGUGUCCGUCGGAGGUAUCUCACCGAGUAGGUGUCGUUCCAAAAAUGCUUAAUAUUUGAAUAUUCUCAGCCAUUAAAUGAAUUCUUGAGAUGAUGAACUUAUCUUGAAUAAAAAAAUCAAUAACAAAAAGAAUGAUGGUGUGUGGGCUUAAAACAGGUGCUCACACACAACUCCUCCUACUAUACUUGGUGUUUUCUCUCUUUUGUU
rnacentral:lncRNA from 1 species